rnacentral:rRNA from 1 species
GGCUGUCGUCAGCUCGUGCCGUGAGGUGUUGGGUUAAGUCCCGCAACGAGCGCAACCCCUAUCUUAGUUCCAGCGAGUAAUGUCGGGGACUCUAAGGAAACUGCCUACGUAAGCCGAGAGGAAGGUGGGGACGACGUCAAGUCAUCACGGCCUUACGUCCCUGGGCCACACACGUGCUACAAUGGUGAGUACAGAAGGAAGCUACCAAGUGAUUGGAUGCAAAUCUCCAAAGCUCAUCUCAGUUCGGAUUGAAGUCUGCAACUCGACUUCAUGAAGCUGGAAUCGCUAGUAAUCGCGCAUCAGCCAUGGCGCGGUGAAUACGUUCCCGGGCCUUGUACAC